AUGAAUCAGGUCUACCGCCGACUCCUCUCCCUCCCUGUUCCCGAUUCAGAUCCAUGCCCAGCCUCCCUCCCAGCGCGGCUGCCACACCCUCGAUCUCCCGCGCCGCCGUCCCAACGAUCUCCCGCUCCAUCUUCGUCUCCCACCAUCUAUCGCUCCUCCACCGCCCCACCCUCUCCCCCUAUGCAGCCUACUCAGAUCUGCGAUGGGGGCACCCGCGGCGGUAGCGGCGCUCCGGCAUCCGCGUCAAGGUCAGCCCCUUGCUCGUCUUCAUGGGUGUGGUGGUCGAGGAAGGUGGUUGAGGUCGGCGAGAUAAACGUUCUCGCCUACCCGCUGGCCAGGACCAAGGACGGCUGCCUCGACACUCCGUCUCCUUCACAAUCUCGCGCUGGGAAAGGAGGGGGUGGCCGCUGUUUUCUUCGGCACUCCUUGGCCUUUUUUGCAUCGCCACAGAGUAUAUAUGAAACUGAAAAGAUGGUGGAGGAGAUAACUGAAGUCGAGGGUGCGGUUAAUGACAUCAAAUGUGUUGAUGAAAUAGAGCCUUCUGAAGAACAGAGGAGAAAAAUACAGAAAGACGUUCAUAUCCUUAAAAGAAAUAGCUUCACACACGACAAUAGCUGCACGACCUACGAACGAUGUUCCCUGACCAACAGCGCUCUUGCCAGCAUGCUCGCUGUUGGCGCUGCCAUGGCAGAAUUGUGCAAGCAUCGGGCAUGCAGUUGUUGUAAUUGA
rnacentral:rRNA from 1 species